rnacentral:sRNA from 1 species
AUCCUGGGUGGUUAAUGCUACACCACCAGGCCAGGCAUAAUCCUGUGGAGUAAAACAUGAGCGAUAAAAUUAUUCACCUGACUGAC